rnacentral:rRNA from 1 species
CGAACGAAGCACCUUACCUGAUUCUUCGGAUGAAGGUCUGGUGACUGAGUGGCGGACGGGUGAGUAACGCGUGGGUAACCUGCCCUGUACAGGGGGAUAACAGUUGGAAACGGCUGCUAAUACCGCAUAAGCGCACGAGAGGACAUCCUCUUGUGUGAAAAACUCCGGUGGUACAGGAUGGACCCGCGUCUGAUUAGCUGGUUGGCAGGGUAACGGCCUACCAAGGCGACGAUCAGUAGCCGGUCUGAGAGGAUGAACGGCCACAUUGGAACUGAGACACGGUCCAAACUCCUACGGGAGGCAGCAGUGGGGAAUAUUGCACAAUGGGGGAAACCCUGAUGCAGCAACGCCGCGUGAGUGAAGAAGUAUUUCGGUAUGUAAAGCUCUAUCAGCAGGGAAGAUAAUGACGGUACCUGACUAAGAAGCUCCGGCUAAAUACGUGCCAGCAGCCGCGGUAAUACGUAUGGAGCAAGCGUUAUCCGGAUUUACUGGGUGUAAAGGGUGCGUAGGUGGCAGUGCAAGUCAGAUGUGAAAGGCCGGGGCUCAACCCCGGAGCUGCAUUUGAAACUGCAUAGCUAGAGUACAGGAGAGGCAGGCGGAAUUCCUAGUGUAGCGGUGAAAUGCGUAGAUAUUAGGAGGAACACCAGUGGCGAAGGC